CAGGUUAACCUCACUUGAGUUUCAUAAAAGCCUGGCAAAGGAGCUGCCUACUGAAACUGCCUAAGGUAUUUCAGUGCCUACUUCAGGAAUACUAAUACCCAAGCAACUAUUAACUGCAGAUAUUCAUAAUGGAGGAAAUAUCCAAGUUUUCUAUUCUCCAUUUCAGUUCAGAAGCUAUUGCAAAAAGCAUUAUUCACAGUGGCCAAGAUAUGGAAAAACCAGUGUCCUUUGACAGAGGAUUGGAUAAGGAAGAUGUGGUACAUGGCUACACUCGAAUAUUAGUCAGCCAUAAGAAAACACGAAAUAUUGCCAUUUGAGACAAUAAGAAUGGAUCUUGAGAAUGUCAAGAAUGCUAAGCGAGAUAAGUCAAAGAGAAAAAGUUAAGAAUCAUGUGAUUUCAUUCAUUUGUAAGAUUUAAAACUGAAAGCAACAAGUGAACAAACAGGAAACAAAAACCCACAGACACAGUAUUGUGGUUACCAGAGGUAAAGGGCAUCAAAUACAUGGUGACAGAAGAAGCUUUGACUGUGGGUGGUGAGCACACCCAAAAUAUAAUACAGAUGUAUUGUAGAAUUGUACACUUGAAACUCAUAUAAUCCUAUUAACCAAUGUCAUCCCAAUAAAUUUAAUUAAAAAAUAAAAUGGAGAGAAUAACUUUGCUUAUAUUAUGUCACUGUUUUGAAGAUUAUAUGUAAUAAAGCUUAGAAGAAUGUUCAGAGGAUAGUAAGAGCUUGACAGAAGCUAACUAAUUUACUCCUAUUAUUUUUUUUGGCCUCCUUAUUGUCCCUUGCCCAAGCCAGACACACUUCUGUAUGUUCCCUCUGCUUGUAAUUUUUUCCCUCCAGAUGUUCCUGCAGUUUACUCUUUGAGAUCUCUCACAGUUUUAUUCAAAGGUCAUCUGACCAACCUAUUUAAAAUGCAAACCACAUCUCUUUUUUUUCUCAUUCCAAUCCUUCUUCUACUAUUCUACUUUUUUUCCUCCAUAGCAGCAGCUAUCACCUUCAAAUAUAAAGUCUAUCUAUCUAUCUAUCUAUCUAUCUAUCUAUCUAUCUAUCUAUCUAUCUAUCAAUCCUCCAUCCAUAUGUGUAUUUUCUCUUCACUAGAAUGCAGUCCACAAAGGCAGGGAUUUUAAUCUGAUUAUUUUUAUUGACCAGCAUCCAAAAAAGGCCUGGCACAAUAGAAGGUGCUUGGUAGAUUACUAUUAAGUGUGGGAGUGACUGACUUGUUAUAUAAUGCUAUCACUGAAUUAAAAUACCACACCAUUCUCUUUUUCCAUUUCCUUGGCUUUUGGGGCCUUCAUUUCCCUUCAGCUUUGCCCUUGAUGUUUAUUUUAACUUUGUUGCACCUUUACUUUUCAUAGGGAAUUGAACACAUAAUAUGCUAUUCAUCCUCUAAGCGACCAUGCCUCAUUCACCCCUCUAGUAGGCUACCAAUUUUCAAAGCCACUCAUUGAAUUUGUGGAGUGUUUGAACUGAUUAAGUAAAAAUGGUUAUUGGUUUUCUGUGAGAGCUAAGACAAGGCAAGUCAAUAGGAACCCAUCUAUCCAUGGCCACCCUCCCUGCACUGUCAGAGAAUCCCAACUUUAUAACCUUAGAAUUCAAAACACAAAAAAAUAUAGAGAAAACACAUUCACUUGAAUAGAAUGUUGAUUAGGCAGAGAAAGGGGGCUAAAAGGGAAUGAGAUACCAUCACCAUAGGACAAUAACAAUCACCAACCAUUUUUAGAUUCUUUAGUAUGUUCUAGAAACUAUACCUAGUACUUUAAAUGCAUUAUUUAAUUU